UACGGGGGAGCAAGCGUUGCUCGGAUUUACUGGGCGUAAGGGCGCGUAGGCGGUCAGCACAAGUCAGUUGUGAAAUCUCCGGGCUUAACUCGGAAAGGUCAACUGAUACUGUGCGACUAGAGUGCGGAAGGGGCAACUGGAAUUCUCGGUGUAGCGGUGAAAUGCGUAGAUAUCGAGAGGAACACCUGCGGCGAAGGCGGGUUGCUGGGCCGACACUGACGCUGAUGCGCGAAAGCCAGGGGGAGCGAACGGG
rnacentral:rRNA from 1 species